CGGACUUGCUGGAGUGUUACCUCUUUGAAGCCCCACUGCUGCCUGUGAGGAAGCCGCUGCUGUCCUGACUCCUGCGUCACAGACUCGCUUCCCCUUUCCUCAGGAAAACGAUGUUGGAACAUGAGCUGCAAGGAGCUCCCAGAUCUGACAUUCCUGGCUGUUCUGAUCUUUCGGUCCUCUGCAGGAUGGAGGCUGCGUGGCUGGAGAUCCCACCGUCACUGAGUUCAGGGAAAAGGAGAAGUGGCCGAGCUGCAGGUCAUCAGGACCCUUGACCCAACCCUGCAUCCCAGCCCUGCCUCACACCCAGAAUGCCGGCCUUCCUCACCAAGGGUCUGGCUGACACCUCUGCAAUGCUCACCACUGGUCGUUUGGGAUUCCCCGGUGAUAUGGUUUGGCUGUGUCCCCACCCAACUCUCAUCUUGAAUUGUAGUUCCCAUAAUCCCCAGAUGUCUUGGGAGGGACAGGGUGGAGAUAAUUGACUCAUGGAGCAGUUUCCUCUGUCCUGUUCUCGUGAUAGUGAGUUAGUUCUCACGAGAUUUGAUUGCUUUAUAAAGGGCUUCUUUCUUCACUGGGCACUCAUUCUCUCUCCUGCCAUCAUGUGAAGAGGGUCUUUGCUUCUCCUUCACCUUCCAUCAUGAU